UACGUAGGUGGCAAGCGUUGUCCGGAUUUACUGGGCGUAAAGCGCGCGCAGGCGGACUGAUCAGUCUGGGGUGAAAUCUCCCGGCUCAACUGGGAGCGGUCCCUGGAUACUGUCAGUCUUGAGAGACCUAGAGGAGAGCGGAAUUCCCGGUGUAGUGGUGGAAUGCGUAGAUAUCCGGAAGAACACCGGUGGCGAAGGCGGCCUGCUGGGCAGUGGCUGACACUGAGGCGCGACAGCGUGGGGAGCAAACAGG
rnacentral:rRNA from 1 species